UACGUAGGGUGCAAGCGUUGUCCGGAAUUAUUGGGCGUAAAGAGCUCGUAGGCGGUCUGUCGCGUCGGCUGUGAAAUCCCGGAGCUCAACUCCGGGUCUGCAGUCGAUACGGGCAAACUGGAGUACUGCAGGGGAGACUGGAAUUCCUGGUGUAGCGGUGAAAUGCGCAGAUAUCAGGAGGAACACCGGUGGCGAAGGCAGCUCACUGGGACGUUACUGACGCUGAGACGCGAAAGCGUGGGGAGCAAACAGG
rnacentral:rRNA from 1 species